AUGAUGUGGGGAUUCGUGAGCUUGUCCCCUCCCAUGGCUACGGGCACCCUACCGUUGUUGUUGCUGCUGUUGGGACUGUGGCGGCUGCGGCUGCCUCCUGUGGUGCUUGUUGUUGUGCAUCCAGACCUUGAAGACCUGCCGCCGGACGCCAGCCUGCGCGCAGAGCUGCUCCACCAGGGCCUCGUCUUGUUUCAGCAUCCGCCACCCCACCCGCUCCGCCAGCGCCAGCAUCUGCCCCCUCUGCUCUGCCGUGAACCUCGUCCGGAACCGCUUCGGCCGCCGCGCCUGCCCGUGCCCCUGCCCUGGAGCCGACGUCGAGGGCGGGCCCGGGCCGGGCUCCUCGCUGGACGACUCGGUCGUCGUGCCACCGCCGCUGGGUGUGCGUUGGUAUUGGUGGUGGUGGGGGUUGUACGCGAACGGCGGCGCGAGCGGGUGGCCGGCCGCGUAGGGGUGGUGGUGCUGCGGAGGCGGCAUGAGCAGCGGCACGCGCGGAGCCGUCGUCGGCGUGGCGGCGGGCGCGGGGAGGAAGAGGCGGGGGUGCUGCUGCCCGUCGUCCCUGCGGUGGAAGCUGCGGUGGCACCCGCAGGCGGCGCACCUGAGGAGGUCGUGGGCGCCGGAGGGCAUGAACUCCCCGCACCCAUCCACGGCGUGCCCGCCCUGCGCGGCCGCGUGGUUGCGCAGGCACUCGCGGUACCUCGCCUCCCAGCUCCCGGCCGCCCCGCUGUUCCCCGAGGAGGCGUCGGAGGGCGCGCGCGUGCCGGGCGGCGUCCCGGCGGCGUGCUCCGGCCCCGUGAACUCCAUCACCGCAUGCCUCUGGCUCUGGGCUCUGGAUGGAUGCAGCUAGCGCGCAGGCGCUUGGCCUCUUGUGGUUUUGUAGCCACCAAGGAGCGAGAGCGAGAGAUGGGCUUCAGCAGGGGAGACACUGGUUCUGAAAUGGCACUUUUGUCUCCUACAGGGCCGGCGAUGCGUGGUGGUGGUGGAGCGACGAGCGACCGACAGCGGCACGGCAGGGGAAGGCGUCACCCCCUCCCUGCAGCCCUUUAA
rnacentral:rRNA from 1 species